rnacentral:tRNA from 1 species
GGAGGCGUGGCCGAGUGGUUGAUGGCGCUGGUCUUGAAAACCAGUAUAGGCGUCAGUCUAUCGAGGGUUCGAAUCCUUCCGCCUCCG